UGAUCAUGUUCUAAUAAAGUCAAUCAUAGAAAUCACAACCCAUAUAUUAGAUGACUUUUCAUGUUGUAACUUGGCUUAUAUUAGGGUAGAAUAUUUUUAGAAAAGUAGGGUUAAACCUUUGGAGUUGGGUUCUUAGUUCUCCUUCUACCAUUAUACCUCUUUGUUCCUUUUUGCUAGUACUAGAGAGUUUUUAUCCUUCUUACAAUAUCAUUCUUU
rnacentral:lncRNA from 1 species